rnacentral:rRNA from 1 species
CCUACGGGUGGCUGCAGUGGGGAAUAUUGGGCAAUGGGCGCAAGCCUGACCCAGCAACGCCGCGUGAAGGAAGAAGGCUUUCGGGUUGUAAACUUCUUUUGUCAUGGACGUAGCAAGUGACGGUACCUGCCGAAUAAGCCACGGCUAACUACGUGCCAGCAGCCGCGGUAAUACGUAGGUGGCAAGCGUUAUCCGGAUUUAUUGGGUUUAAAGGGCGUGUAGGCGGGAAGGUAAGUCAGGUGUGAAAACUAUGGGCUCAACCCAUAGCCUGCAUUUGAAACUGUAUUUCUUGAGUGCUGGAGAGGCAAUCGGAAUUCCGUGUGUAGCGGUGAAAUGCGUAGAUAUACGGAGGAACACCAGUGGCGAAGGCGGACUGCUGGACAGUAACUGACGCUGAGGCGCGAAAGCGUGGGGAGCAAACAGGAUUAGAUACCCUUGUAGUC